rnacentral:lncRNA from 1 species
GUAACUUUUCUAAAAGUCUGAAAUUAUCCAAAAUAAAAAGUUUUUAAAAUUAACAAGAGAUAAUAAUAACAUCUUGAGUCCAUGGCCUCCCCUAUUUCCAAAUAGCUUCUGUCUAUCCCAGAAGCAAACUGACUCUGUCUUUCAUCCAUUAGACCAUCCCAGCCAUCUGACUUAAAACAACACGAAUUAGAUUUGAUGGCCAUUGUACAGACUAUACUUUGCUAGCUCAUGCACCUCACUCCACUUUCUCUGCAACCAUGUCUGACGAACCUGAUAUGGCUAAGAUAGAGAAAUUCAAUAAAUCAAAAUUGAAGAAGACAGAAAUGCAAGACAUAAAUCCACUGCGUUCAAAAGAAACAACUGAACAGGAGAAGCAAGCCAGUGAAUCGUGAUGAGGCAUGUGCCACCCAUAUGCACUAUAUAUUCCACAAGCAUUGACUUCUUGUUUUGCUUCUCUCAGUAUGUAUUCCUCCUCCUACCUGUUUAACUUUAUAAGAUGCAAAGAGGUUAGAUCAAGUGUAAAUGACUGUGCUGCCCCUCUUCACAUCAAAGAACUACUAACAACCACAGCUUGUGCCUCUCCCAUCUGCCUGUCUGGCUGGCAGGGAAGGAAAAGUUCCUGCAUACUGGUGAAAGAAGGAGCUAGGUGGGACAACAGUGAUAUUUAGAGCAAAAACCAAGCUGGCCUAAGGUGCCCUGAAAACUUUAAAAUGUGGUUUAACCAGAGUGCCACAUUUUUGUUCAAAUGAUUUUACUGGAAAAUCAUUUUUCAUAUGCAAAUUAAAAGUUUUAAAACCAAAAUAAUAAUAAUUAAAAAAAACCCGCAAACUUACUAUCUUAUAGAUCGGCAGGUCAGAAGUCCAAAAUGACUCUUUGUGGGAUAGAGUCAAGGUUUCAGCAGAGCUUGAACCUUCUUUCCUGGAGGCUCUAGGGGAGAAUUGGCUUCCUUGCCUAUUCCAGCUUCUAGAGGCUGCCUGCAUUCCUUGGUUCAUAGCCCCUACCUCCAUCUUCAAAACUAGCAGCAUAGCAUCUUCAGAUCUUUGUUGACUUCCUCUUCUGCCUUCCUCUACUUUAAAGGACCUUAUGACUUCAGAUGAGACCCACCAGGAUAAUCCAGAAUAAUCUCUGUCUCUUAAAGUCAGUUGAUUAACAACGUUAAUUUCAUCUGCAACCUAAAUUCUUCCAUGCCAUGUAAUGAAAUAUAUUUACAGGUUGUUGGAAUGAGGACAUGAACUUCUUUGAGUGGCCAUUAAUAUGCCUAUCACAGCUACCCUCUGCCUGGAAUGCCUGGAAAGUGUGCCCUAUCCCCCAAACCCUUCUGGCUAACCAGAUCCCUAAAUCAUAAUUCUUUCAGAAACGUGUCCUUAGCUAGUUGGAAAUGUUAUAGUGAUUGCUCCAGAUCUAAUUUCCUUAACACUCCCAUCCUCAAUAAACUUAACGAUGUUACUUAUCUGGUAAGUUUU